UACGUAGGGGGCAAGCGUUGUCCGGAAUCAUUGGGCGUAAAGCGCGUGUAGGCGGUCCGGUAAGUCCGCUGUGAAAGUCGAGGGCUCAACCCUCGAAUGCCGGUGGAUACUGUCGGGCUAGAGUGCGGAAGAGGCGAGUGGAAUUCCUGGUGUAGCGGUGAAAUGCGCAGAUAUCAGGAGGAACACCAAUUGCGAAGGCAGCUCGCUGGGACGUUACUGACGCUGAGACGCGAAAGCGUGGGGAGCAAACAGG
rnacentral:rRNA from 1 species